rnacentral:lncRNA from 10 species
GUCCACAAGACAAAUGAGGGUGUUGGGCUGACCCAGUGUCACGGGAGACUUGGAAAACACUGUGACCUCAGGAACCUCUGUGGUGAGGAAACAGCACUGGUGUGAAGUGUGAAUAGCUCUGCCCUGAAGUUCUGCAUUACAUCCUGGAAGAGCCCUCCUACCAGCAUUUCACCACCUGAUAGUCAAAGAGGUCUUAUUUACCUUCUGCUUGGGAGCAACGACACAUUGCCUCUGCUUUAUUCCUGUGCCCUUCUCUCUGUGGGCAUGUUUAAUAAAGUAGGAGGUUGAUGAGACCUCUCCUAGAAGGAUUUGCUGAAUGCAUAAUGGAAAGACCCUUGUAUUACAUGGGAAUAUGUGAUUUUAGAGAUGGGAGAUGAUAAAAUUUCAGCAAUUGCCAUAAGAAGAUCUGGGGACCUCUUGGGAAGAAAAUAAUGAACCCUGGUAUGGAGGGAUAACUUAAGUAAAGAGAGGCAGAAUGGUGGACGCAUACCAUUGGUAGCAGCGGUAGAGUUGUAGCGUUUAAUCAUGAUGUUCAAGUUGUGUUUUGCCACAGCCAUGUUUCUCAGUGCACCCUGCGGGUCAAAACCUCCAAAUUUGCUGAACUCAGGCCACCGCCAGGCAGUCUCCUUCCUCUCCAGGUCCACGUAGAACUGCUCAUCUCCAUCAAAUUCAUGGGUGUACUGGCCAGAGGGACCGUAAAACUGGUACAAGUUUACACCACAAGAGGCAACGUGGUCAGCUGAUGAGUGAAGAUGACAAGCAGGAAGGCGGAGAACAGGGGAAGAAAGAACCUUAAUACACAAAAUGAUGGAAGAAACUGACUUUCAAAUAUUAUGGGCUUCAUUUUUUGGCACAGUCUGUGGACAUUUCCAGCCCCUGCUUCCUCCCCUCUUCAUGUUGGUAGUUGUCCAGUUAAAAGUGCACUUUCUUUCCCACUCUAGUGUGCGCUACACAAGGGCAGAAUAUCGCAUGUCCAAUUUUUACUAUUUCC